rnacentral:ribozyme from 1 species
AUGAAGUGAAAGCGAGAAUGAAUGAAAAGGAACAAAGGACACAACAACACAAAGCCAUCAUGAGUCGUGUGUUUCUCUUUCUUUCUUCUUUGUUUCUUGCUUCCAUUUCAU